rnacentral:rRNA from 1 species
UACGGAGGGUGCAAGCGUUGUUCGGAAUGACUGGGCGUAAAGCGCACGUAGGCUGGUCUGUAAGUCGGCUGUGAAAUCCCAGGGCUUAACCCUGGAAUUGCGGUUGAAACUACAGAUCUUGAAUACCCAAGAGGGUGGCGGAAUACCGGGUGUAGUAGUGAAAUACGUAGAUAUCCGGUGGAACACCAGAGGCGAAGGCGGCUGCCUGGGGGUGUAUUGACGCUGAGGUGCGAAAGCGUGGGGAGCAAACAGG